GCACCUGAAUCUUUUCCUUGUUUCCUUGCUGUGCAGUGCAGGUCUGGGGUGGUUGGUGCAUCAGCACAGCAGUGGAAAUCUAGAUGAGUUGUUUUGCACUGGUUUGGGAUUCAUCUCUGCAACAUUUACCACUUAA